UACAGAGGUCCCAAGCGUUGUUCGGAUUCACUGGGCGUAAAGGGCGCGUAGGCGGAUUGUACAGUCAGGCGUGAAAUUCCCGGGCUCAACCUGGGGGCUGCGCUUGAGACGUGCGAUCUUGAGUGGGGAAGAGGGUCGUGGAAUUCCCAGUGUAGAGGUGAAAUUCGUAGAUAUUGGGAAGAACACCGAUGGCGAAGGCGGCGACCUGGUCCUUGACUGACGCUGAGGCGCGAAAGCGUGGGGAGCAAACAGG
rnacentral:rRNA from 1 species